AGAGAGGUAAUACAUGAAGUAACGGACGAAAUGCUCCCGAGUUCCCCAGCAACGUUCCUCCUACACCACACGGAGAUGUCUAUACCGACAUACAGUAAAUCUGUCAUCCCACGACUAUUAAACGCAGCCAAAGCAACGGUCCCAAUAUACUGGAAGCAGGCCACCACACCCUCCAUCGCAAGAUGGGUGGAAGAGGUGGAAGCAACUAGGAAAUUCGAAGACGUGAAGGCAACCACCCCGAACCUUAGAGAUCGCUACACCAAACGCUG